rnacentral:rRNA from 1 species
GGUUUGAUCAUGGCUCAGAUUGAACGCUGGCGGGAUGCUUUACACAUGCAAGUCGAACGGCAGCACGACUUCGGUCUGGUGGCGAGUGGCGAACGGGUGAGUAAUGUAUCGGAACGUGCCUAGUAGCGGGGGAUAACUAUGUGAGCGUAGCUAAUACCGCAUACGCCCUUCGGGGGAAAGCGGGGGACCUUCGGGCCUCGCAAUUAUUAGAGCGGCUGAUAUCGGAUUAGCUUAGUUGCGGGUAACGGCUCUCACCACGGCGACGAUCCGUAGCUGGUUUGAGAGACACCAGCCACGACUGGACUGAGAUAUCGGCCCAGACUCUACGGGAGGCAGCAGCGGGGGAAUUUUGGACAAUGGGGAAACCCUGAUCCAGCCAUCCCGCGUGCGAUGAAGGCCUUCGGGUUGUAAAAGCACUUUGGCAGGAGAAGAAACGGCACGGGAUAAUACCCCCGUGCAACUGACGGUACCUGCAGAAUAAGCACCGGCUAACUACGUGCCAGCAGCCGCGGUAAUACGUAGGGUGUUGUUAACGGAAUUACUGGGCGCAAGCGUGCGCAGGCGGUUCGAAAGAAAGAUGUGAACUUGUAGCUUAACUUUUGGAACUGCAUUUUUAACUACCGAGCUAUGCGUCAGAGGGAGGUGGACCCGCGUGUAGCAGUGAAAAUGCGUAGAUAUGCGGAGGAACAUCCGAUGGCGAAGGCAGCCUCCUGGGAUAACACUGACGCUCAUGCACGAAAAGCCGCCGGGAGCAAACAGGAUUAGAUACCCUGGUAGUCCACGCCUAAACGAUGAUCAACUAUUGUUGGGGCUCGGGCCUUGGUAGCGCAGCUAACGGUGAAGUUGACCGCCCCUUGGGAGUACGGUCGUGGCAUUAAACUCAAAGGAAUUGACGGGGACCCGCACAAGCGGUGGAUGAUGUGGAUUAAUUGAUGCAAUGCGAAAACCUUACCUACCCUUGACAUGUCUGGAAUCCCGAAGAGAUUUGGGAGAAAAGUUUUACAAGAGAACCGGAACACAGGUGCUGCAUGGCUGUCGUCAGCUCGUGUCGUGAGAUGUUGGGUUAAGUCCCGCAACGAGCGCGCAACCCUUGUCAUUAGUUGCUACGAAAGGCACCCAUCGAGACUGCCGGUGACAAACCGGAGGAAGGUGGAUGACGUCAAGUCCUCAUGGCCCUUAUGGGUAGGGCUUCACACGUCAUACAAUGGUCGGGACAGAGGGUCGCCAACCUCGCGAGGGGGGAGCCACAACCCAGAAACCCGAUCGUAGUCCGGAUCGCAGUCUGCAACCUGACUGCGUGAAGUCGGAAUCGCUAGUAACGGUGGAUCAGCAUGUCGCGGUGAAUACGUUCCCGGGUCUUGAAGACACCGCCCGUCACGUCCAUGGGAGUGGGUUUUACCAGAAGUAGUUAGCCUAACCGUAAGGAGGGCGAUUACCACGGUAGGAUUCAUGACUGGGGGUGAAGUCAAAAAUGCUGGUAG